rnacentral:rRNA from 1 species
GACGAACGCUGGCGGCGUGCUUAACACAUGCAAGUCGAGCGGUAAGGCCCUUUUGGGGGUACACGAGCGGCGAACGGGUGAGUAACACGUGGGUGACCUGCCCUCAGCUCUGGGAUAAGCCUGGGAAACUGGGUCUAAUACUGGAUAUGACCUUUCCUCGCAUGGGGGUUGGGUGGAAAGUUUUUCGGCUGGGGAUGGGCCCGCGGCCUAUCAGCUUGUUGGUGGGGUGAUGGCCUACCAAGGCGACGACGGGUAGCCGGCCUGAGAGGGCGACCGGCCACACUGGGACUGAGACACGGCCCAGACUCCUACGGGAGGCAGCAGUGGGGAAUAUUGCGCAAUGGGCGGAAGCCUGACGCAGCGACGCCGCGU